rnacentral:rRNA from 1 species
CCCUUAGACGUUCUGGGCCGCACGCGCGCUACACUGAUGCAUUCAACGAGUCUAAAACCUGCUCUGAUAGGGGUGGGUAAUCUUUUGAAUGUGCAUCGUGAUUGGGAUAGAUGAUUGCAAUUUUUCAUCUUCAACGAGGAGUGCCUAGUAAACGCAAGUCAUCAGCUUGCAUUGAUUACGUCCCUGCCCUUUGUAUACACCGCCCGUCGCUCCUACCGAUUGAAUGAUCCGAUGAAUAUCAUGGAUUGAGGAUGCAAGUAGGUUCGCCUAUCUUCAUCUUCGAGAAGUGAAGUAAAUCUUAUCAUUUAGAGGAAGGAGAAGUCGUAACA